rnacentral:rRNA from 1 species
AUGUGGAGAAGCUUUCACUAUAUAUAUAUGAACCAUUCAUGGAGCAAGCAUUUCACGGUCAUACACUCAUCAACUCCACUUACAAGAGUACCACCCAUUAAUAGCCUCUGUUCCCCGGUGAUGAUGACCAAGUACAUGAGGAACAAUGUGCAAGGACUAGUGCUACUUUCUUUUCUUCUUGUGGUGUGUUUGACUUGUCUUGGAGGCACAUAUGGCGAAAUCAUAAAUGACAAGGGGAGCAACAUGAUGAGGAAAGUAAGCCAUGUAACGAGACCCCCUUGUUAUAAAGAUGGGCACCAGCUCCCAGGACGGGAAUUCUGCUGUAAAAUAGAUAACUUGUGCUGGCCAAGUCUCGGAGAAUGCUUCAUCAACUGUCCCUGCAAGAUUAAUUGCACACCAGCAGCAGCAGCAACACGAUAG